GAUGAACGCUGGCGGCGUGCCUAAUACAUGCAAGUCGAGCGAACAGACGAGGAGCUUGCUCCUCUGACGUUAGCGGCGGACGGGUGAGUAACACGUGGAUAACCUACCUAUAAGACUGGGAUAACUUCGGGAAACCGGAGCUAAUACCGGAUAAUAUAUUGAACCGCAUGGUUCAAUAGUGAAAGACGGUUUUGCUGUCACUUAUAGAUGGAUCCGCGCCGCAUUAGCUAGUUGGUAAGGUAACGGCUUACCAAGGCAACGAUGCGUAGCCGACCUGAGAGGGUGACCGGCCACACUGGAACUGAGACACGGUCCAGACUCCCACGGGAGGCAGCAGUAGGGAAUCUUCCGCAAUGGGCGAAAGCCUGACGGAGCAACGCCGCGUGAGUGAUGAAGGUCUUCGGAUCGUAAAACUCUGUUAUUAGGGAAGAACAAAUGUGUAAGUAACUAUGCACGUCUUGACGGUACCUAAUCAGAAAGCCACGGCUAACUACGUG
rnacentral:rRNA from 1 species